CCUAAAGGAGUUAUGGCCAAACAAGAAACUGGGCUAAAUUUGCUGGAAUGAAUGGCCUGGUGGGCCAAAUGAAGUCCAUUGAAUAGACAUUUUCUAAAUCAAGGGUUAUCUUGAGCCAUGGUGGCACAAGUGGUUAGAGUGCAGUAAUACAGGUUCCUUCUGCUGACUGCUGGCUGCCUGAAAUUUGGCAGUUCGAAUCCCACCAGGCUCAAGUUUGACUCGACCUUCCAUCCUUCCGAGUUCCCCACUGUCGUGACAAUUAAAGAAAGACGGAUAAAUUGAGAGCCUCUCCAUCUGCAUAUAGCUCUUCAGAAGAAGCUUCAUGGAUGAGAAGAGCUUCUUGGAUGAGAAGCGAAACGUCUUCAAAGAAAAACCACAAAGUCCAGUUGCCUCUUGAGAAAGCACCUUUGGGACAACCAUGACCUGGAUGACUGAGAAUCUCCAUAGACCAGAAAGGAACCGAUAAACAGCAGAUAGGUUUCGCUCUCAAGAUUAUUCUUUAUUGUCUCGGAAGCGAAACAGAAACUUCUAAAGUUUGGACAGUAAACAGAAUCCGUUUUCUGAAUUCACGAUCCCAAAGAAAGGUAUGGAAGACUUACAGAAAAUAGAACUGGGAGCUGGAUAGAAAGAGAAGAUGGUGAAUUUGGAGCUCAUCGGGAGCAUUUCUUAGAAACAACAUAAACCAAGUUGUCUUCCAGCGCAUGCCAGCUAUGGAAGAGACUCGUGACCUAAGAAAAUGGAAUUUUCCUUCAAAACUGGCUGUCUCUGGCUUCAAGCAAUGCUUGAUGAACUUUCCAAAGCCUGCCAAUAUCUUGAUAUCUAUGUUAUUUAUUUUAUCAGAAAGCAAUCUUCUUCCUUAAUCCUUGCUGGCACCAUAAGCACACCAUGACCUGUAUUUUUUAUAUAUCCAUCUACAUUUCAUAUCAGGUCAAAGUCACUUGAAUCCUCCUUCGUCUUCGUCUCUUUGAUCCUUCAUUUCUAUGACUUCGCUUUUACCUGCACCAACACUACCAACGAUUUAA